UACGUAGGGUGCGGAGCGUUGUCCGGAAUUAUUGGCGUAAAGAGCUUGUAGGCGGUUUGUCGCGUCUGCUGUGAAAAUCCGGGGCUCAACCCGGACUUGCAGUGGUACGGGCAGACUAGAGUGUGGUAGGGAGACUGGAAUUCCUGGUGUAGCGGUGAAAUGCGCAGAUAUCAGGAGGAACACCGAUGGCGAAGGCAGGUCUCUGGCCACUACUGACGCUGAGAAGCGAAAGCAUGGGGAGCGAACAGG
rnacentral:rRNA from 1 species